rnacentral:rRNA from 1 species
GCAUAUCAAUAAGCGGAGGAAAAGAAACCAACAGGGAUUGCCCUAGUAACGGCGAGUGAAGCGGCAACAGCUCAAAUUUGAAAUCUGGCUUCGGCCCGAGUUGUAAUUUGCAGAGGAAGCUUUAGGCGCGGCACCUUCUGAGUCCCCUGGAACGGGGCGCCAUAGAGGGUGAGAGCCCCGUAUAGUUGGAUGCCUAGCCUGUGUAAAGCUCCUUCGACGAGUCGAGUAGUUUGGGAAUGCUGCUCAAAAUGGGAGGUAAAUUUCUUCUAAAGCUAAAUACCGGCCAGAGACCGAUAGCGCACAAGUAGAGUGAUCGAAAGAUGAAAAGCACUUUGAAAAGAGGGUUAAAUAGCACGUGAAAUUGUUGAAAGGGAAGCGCUUGUGACCAGACUUGCGCCGGGCAGAUCAUCCGGUGUUCUCACCGGUGCACUCUGCCCGGCUCAGGCCAGCAUCGGUUCUCGCGGGGGGAUAAAGGCCCUGGGAACGUAGCUCCUCCGGGAGUGUUAUAGCCCGGGGCGUAAUGCCUUCGCGGGGACCGAGGUUCGCGCAUCUGCAAGGAUGCUGGCGUAAUGGUCAUCAGCGACCCGUCUUGAAACACGGACCAAGGAGUCAAGGUUUUGCGCGAGUGUUUGGGUGUAAAACCCGCACGCGUAAUGAAA